GAGAAAGUCAUAAUGGUUUAUGAGGUUGACUUGAAAUCAACUUUUUCGGGGUUCGAUUCCUUCCUUCCUUG
rnacentral:tRNA from 1 species